GGUUUGUGGCUCAGUGGUAGAGUACUUGUCUAGCAUGUGUGAGGCACUGGGUUUGAUUCUCAGCACUG
rnacentral:tRNA from 1 species